ACCCCCAUGUAGUGAGUUAAGGAUUAUCUAAAGGGGGUACAGCCCCUUUAAAAAGGACACACCCUUCACUAGCGGAUAAUUUUCCCCACUUUGACCCCGUGGGCCUUAAAGCAGCCAUCCCAAAAGAGUGCGUCAAAGCUCUCUCAAUAAAAAUACAAAAACAAUAUGACUCCCUACAUUCCUAGCCGGCUAACCUAUAACAAUAGAUGAAUCAAUGCUAGAACGAGUAACCAGGACACCCUCCCCUCAAGCGCCAGUUUAUACACCAUUAACAGCCCAACCAUUAAUGCUUAGCCCCCCUCCACAAGACCAAACAUUAAACACACCCUGUUAACCCAACCCAGGAGCGCACACUAGGAUGAUUAAAAUCUACAAAAGGAACUCGGCAAACCCAAGGCCCGACUGUUUACCAAAAACAUAGCCUUCAGCUAAACAAGUAUUGGAGGUGAUGCCUGCCCAGUGACACCACGUUUAACGGCCGCGGUAUCCUAACCGUGCAAAGGUAGCGCAAUCAAUUGUCCAUAAAUCGAGACUUGUAUGAAUGGCUAAACGAGGCCCUAACUGUCUCCUGUAGAUAAUAGGUGAAACUGAUCUCCCCGUGCAAAAGCGAGGAUAAACACACAAGACGAGAAGACCCUGUGGAACUUUAAAAUCAAUAGCCACCACACACCAAUCCAAAGCCCACUCGGCUCCACCACCCACAACACUGGCUAAUAUUUUUAGAUUGGGGUGAUCUUGGAGAAAAACAAAUCCUCCAAAAAUAAGGCCAAACUCCUUAGCGAAGAGCCACCCCUCAACGCGCUAACAGCACCCAGAUCCAAUAAAAUUGACCAAUGAACCAAGCUACCCCAGGGAUAACAGCGCAAUCUCCCCCAAGAGUCCCUAUCGACGAGGAGGUUUACGACCUCGAUGUUGGAUCA
rnacentral:rRNA from 1 species